rnacentral:rRNA from 1 species
GACGAACGCUGGCGGCGUGCUUAACACAUGCAAGUCGAACGAGAGCGUAGAGAAAGCUUGCUUUUUCUACAAUCUAGUGGCAAACGGGUGAGUAACGCGUAAACAACCUGCCCUACGGAUGGGGACAACAGCUGGAAACGGCUGCUAAUACCGAAUACGUUCCGAAAGUCGCAUGACUAUCGGAAGAAAGGAUGGCCUCUAUUUAUAAGCUAUCGCCGGAGGAGGGGUUUGCGUCUGAUUAGCUAGUUGGAGGGGUAACGGCCCACCAAGGCGACGAUCAGUAGCCGGUCUGAGAGGAUGAACGGCCACAUUGGGACUGAGACACGGUCCAGACUCCUACGGGAGGCAGCAGUGGGGAAUCUUCCGCAAUGGGCGAAAGCCUGACGGAGCAACGCCGCGUGAGUGAAGACGGCCUUCGGGUUGUAAAGCUCUGUUAUACGGGACGAAUAAUCUUGUGGUUAAUACCCAUGAGAAGUGACGGUACCGUAAGAGAAAGCCACGGCUAACUACGUG